UAUAUCUUUCACCUCUCACAAAACCUGGACACACCUUUACUGCCAAAAUAUCAGGUUCAAUGAAGCAGAAACAGCUGUGUAAAAAUGUGACUGGCCAAGAAGGGUAUGAUGGAAGAAGCGGAAUGAGGAGAACUCAGCAAGGCCUGUCUGCAGAUUCUUCCUCGCUGUACAGCAUUCCUUCCUUCCAGGAAAUCUGGAAACUGUUCCGUUUGUAAGUCAAAGGGGAAGGAGUGAAGAAUGAGUUGGC
rnacentral:lncRNA from 1 species